CACGUAGGGGGCGAGCGUUGUCCGGAAUCAUUGGGCGUAAAGAGCUCGUAGGCGGCUCAGUCAGUCGGGUGUGAAACCCCCAGGCUCAACCUGGGGACGCCAUCCGAUACUGCUGUGGCUAGAGUCCAGUAGAGGAGUGUGGAAUUCCCGGUGUAGCGGUGAAAUGCGCAGAUAUCGGGAGGAACACCAACGGCGAAGGCAGCACUCUGGGCUGGUACUGACGCUGAGGAGCGAAAGCGUGGGGAGCGAACAGG
rnacentral:rRNA from 1 species